ACAGCAGUAGCCGCGGUAAUACGAAGGGUGCAAGCGUUACUCGGAAUUACUGGGCGUAAAGCGUGCGUAGGUGGUUGUUUAAGUCUGCUGUGAAAGCCCUGGGCUCAACCUGGGAAUUGCAGUGGAUACUGGGCGACUAGAGUAAGGUAGAGGAUAGUGGAAUUUCCGGUGUAGCAGUGAAAUGCGUAGAGAUCGGAAGGAACAUCUGUGGCGAAGGCGACUAUCUGGGCCAUUACUGACACUGAGGCACGAAAGCGUGGGGAGCAAACAGGAUUAGAUACCCCAGUAGUCCCUGUCUCUUAUAC
rnacentral:rRNA from 1 species